GCCAGUGUACUUUAUUGGUUUGAAUGUUGGACUACAAUUCUGGAGACCAGGGUUCAAAUCCCUUCUCAGCCA
rnacentral:tRNA from 1 species